rnacentral:rRNA from 1 species
AAGUCUGGUGCCAGCAGCCGCGGUAAUUCCAGCUCCAAUAGCGUAUAUUAAAGUUGUUGCAGUUAAGAAGCUCGUAGUUGAAUUUCGGGGUUAGUAGGUUGGUCAUGCCUCUGGUAUGUACUGGUCUCACUGAUUCCUCCUUCCUCAUGAACCGUAAUGCCAUUAAUUUGGUGUUGCGGGGAAUUUGGACUGUUACUUUGAAAAAAUUAGAGUGUUUAAAGCAAGCUAACGCUUGAAUACAUUAGCAUGGAAUAAUGAAAUAGGACGUUCGAUCUUAUUUUGUUGGUUUCUAGGAUUGACGUAAUGAUUAAUAGGGAUAGUUGGGGGCAUUAGUAUUCAAUUGUCAGAGGUGAAAUUCUUGGAUUUAUUGAAGACUAACUACUGCGAAAGCAUUUGCCAAGGAUGUUUUCAUUAAUCAAGAACGAAAGUUAGGGGAUCGAAGACGAUCAGAUACCGUCGUAGUCUUAACCAUAAACUAUGCCGACUAGGGAUCGGAUGAUGUUAAUUUUUUAAUGACUCAUUCGGCGCCUUACGGGAAACCAAAGUGUUUGGGU